UGGUCCGAACCCCCUUCUCCUAAACCCCUCCCCUCUCUCUCUCUCUCUCUCUCUCUGUGGUGGGCGCCCUCAUCAUUUGAAAUCCUAUAGGCUCCCUCCCCCAUCACUCUCUCUCUCUCUCUCUCUCUCUCUCUCUCUCUCUCUCCACCUUCGAAAGCAUUGGUUGCUCCUCUCACUUGCGCUCUCUCCAUCCCUCUGCACAUAUGGCUGCGGCUUCGUCGUCGUCGUCGCACGAUGCGGGGUUUUCGACGGCGUCGGCGAUGGGAGGGGGAGGGGGAGGGGGAGUUGUAGGGGGCGAAGGGGCGUCAUGGGAAGGAGGAGGAGGAGGUGGCGGUGGUGGUGGGAGGGGCGGCGCGGAUCGGGUGAGCGUGGCGGGGCUGAAGCGGGCGAGGAAGGAGAGGGUCUGCACCGCCAAGGAGCGCAUCAGCCGCAUGCCCCCCUGCGCCGCCGGCAAGCGCAGCUCCAUCUACCGCGGCGUCACCCGGCACCGAUGGACCGGUCGUUAUGAAGCUCAUCUUUGGGAUAAGAGCACCUGGAACCAGAGCCAAAAUAAGAAAGGGAAACAAGUAUAUUUAGGUGCGUAUGAUGAUGAAGAGGCUGCAGCUAGAGCAUAUGAUCUUGCCGCUUUGAAAUACUGGGGUGCCGGGACACUAAUUAAUUUUCCUGUCAGUGACUAUGUAAGAGAUAUUGAAGAGAUGCAGAUGGUUUCAAAGGAGGACUAUCUCGUGUCUCUCAGAAGAAAAAGCAGUGCUUUUUCAAGAGGAUUCCCUAAAUAUCGUGGACUUCCUAGACAACCUCAAAAUUCCCGACGGGAUGCAUCUUUUGGACAGUUGCUAGGAAAUGACCAUAACAACCUAAACUGCAGUACAAGCAAGGAUGUGAUGACAGAUGGAAAUUAUGCCGGCAGCUUUGUUUUGGAGAGAAAAAUUGAUCUGACAAACUAUAUCAGGUGGUGGCUACCAAAGAAAGCACGUCAAUCAGAAUCUGCCUCUGCUUCCGAAGAAGUAGCCAAUGAACUCCGAAAUCUCGAGUCCUCAAUACCACCAACCGAGCCGUACAAGCUGCCUUCUCUUGGCCCUCAGAACUUGAAGCCUCGUUCAGGGAGCCUUUCUGCGUGUAGUAUCUUAUCACAGUCUGAUGCCUACAAAAAUUUUAUGGACAAGUAUUCAAAGUUGUCAGAAGAGAAGGAAGGUGUUUCUGGUAAAGAAACGGACCUUGGGAAAACAGUUCCCAUACAGUUUGCUAGCAGUGGAUUUGAUGGAUCAGUAGUUAGCAUAGGCUUGGCUGAGUUUCCAGCUCAAAAAUCUCCCUAUAUGUUGUCUCCUCUUCUCUCUGCACCAUUAAGGACCAGCUGGAAUCCUGUUGAUCCCAUAACUGAUCCUCUUUUCUGGACCGGUCUUGUUUCACCAACCGGGCAAUCUCUGACAACAUUGGUUAUGCCUCUGCCUGCUGCUUCUCUCUCUUUAAUUAAACAGUUACACUAGUUGAUUCAUCACCGUAAUCUAUAUUUUCUACUGUUAUAUCCGUGCACGGGAAGAACGAAGCUAGUUCUAGUUACUCAUAUCAAUGUCAGGAAUGAUGCACACAAGAUUUAGAAGUUCGUAGGAAAUGGUUGAGUCUUUGAGGGUGUACGAGAUAUUGCUAUAUAAGGAGCCUUGGUGGUAGACAAUUACCUCACUUCGUCAAAAAGUAUGUUUGUACUCGAGGAAAACUAUGUAAGCUGUGUCGGAUCAUGAGUUCACUUGAAACCACAAUUCUAGCAUAUAGCUGCAGGUUCAUUUGUUCAGGCAGAGAACAAAGAACUAAUCAUGGAAUGUAAGGGGCGCUUCCGGUCAAACAGUAGCACACAUGGUGGCACACAUGAUCGCAAGCCGAAAAAUGCUAUAAGGCUAGGCAGUCUAUAAGAUUACACUAAACUGGUUUUGAGCACACUUUUUACUGUUAGAGUGUAGUUUGUUUCAGAUAGUAUGUUCUUGAAUAAACACAGAUUCGGUUUUGGGUGUAAUGUGUGUGAUGAUAGGUAUAGAUAUAGUAUGGACUUUGUGUGAUAUUUUACCUUAUUAAUAUACAAUUGCAUCUCAUGUAAACUUUUGAGAAAUGUUGGUAGUCAUAAUCUUUGCCUAUUUCCUAGA